UCUCUGGUGGUCUAGUGGUUAGGAUUCGGCGCUCUGACCGCUGCAGCCCGGGUUCGAGUCCCGGUCAGAGAA